AAUCAGUCCACCCUAAUUUGAAUGACUGACUGGGUGGUAGCUGUAGGCAUGGGGGCGGUGUGGGAGGAGGAAGUGGAUCACGGGGGUGUGCCCUGGAAGGGUAUAUUUUCCCUUUGGUUUCUUGCCCCACACCAUUUCCUUGUUGCUAUGAGGGAAGCAGCUUCCCUACAUGAUAUGAUGCCCUUCUCUCGUGAUAUUCUGCCUUACCUUAGGCCAAAUGGACCUCAUGGACAUAUACAGAACUGUCCACCCAGCAGUAGUAGAAUAUGCAUUCUUCUCAAGCCCACAGGGAAACUUCUCCAGACAUAUCAUAGGUUAGUCCACAAAAGAAAUGCUAACAAUUACAAGAAGACUGAAGUUACAUCAAGAUCUUCCCUAACCACAGUGAUAUUAAACUAGGAACCAAUAACAAGAGGCAUUUCAGAAAAUUCACAAAUACAUGGAAAUUAAACAAUAUGUUCUUGAACAAUGAGUCUAGAAGAAAUUAAAAAGGAAAUCAAAAAGUAUCUUAAGAAAAAUGAAUAUGGACAUGUAAUAUACCAAAACUCAUGAGUACUUUGAGGCAAAGUUUAGGUAGAUUCAGUCAAGCUGGCUGAACAGAAGUGCCCAGUACUCACCUCCCUUUCCACAAAUAGGAACCCAAGUAAUAGGAAUACAGCUUCAUAGUGAGGUAAGUGACCAUGGAAGGAAACACUGGAAACUAAUCAGAGAGACUAGUCCCUUGUUAAGACUCAGAGAUCUGGGACAACACCAUAGUAAUAGAAAUAAAAUACUCCAAUAUCUUCCAACCUGGCUUCCUUUGCAGGGAUAAGGAUAAAAGAGUUGCAUCAAACUGU
rnacentral:lncRNA from 1 species